rnacentral:lncRNA from 1 species
UCCCAGGGAUGGGAGCCCUCCCCUGUGUGUACAAGCCCUUCUCUUAGUGAAGAGAGUAACAGGACCUAAGGAGCUGAGGACCUACCCGUGGCCAGAGCUUGGGGUGAUCUGGCGACUUCUAGUCCAGAGAGGAAAGCCCUCACUGAGCCUUGACCCAACCUUUCUAUAGAUAUAUUUUAAUUGUGAAAACUCUUUUUUUCACCUUUUUAUUCUUUUAUUUUAUUAACAUUGGUGUUCUACCUGCAUGGAUGUCUCUGUGAGGAUGUCAGCCCUCCCACCCCCGUAACUGGAAUUACACACAGUUGAGACUACCAUGUGGAUGCUUGGAAUUGAACCCCUGGGUCCUUUGGAAGAGUAGCCAGUGCUCUUAACCACUGAGCCAUCUCUUCAGCCUUAAGUUUGAAAGUUCUUAAUGGAAGUCUUUGUACUUUUCUAAACAUUAUGAGAAAGCACUGAUCACACCAAGGACUGCUCGCUUGUGUGUUAGUCUGCUGAGUGGUGGCUGUGGCUAUGGUUUAGCUGACUCUAUGAUGACAAUAAGAGCUUUUAUUUUUUAUUUAUUUUUUACUAUUUAUUUAUUUAUUUAUUUAUUUAGUUAGUUAGUUAGUUAGUUAUUGGUUGAGACAGAAUUUCUCUAUGUAGCCCUGGCUGUCCUGAAACUCACUCUGUGGACCAGGCUGGCCUUGAACUCACAGAUAUCCUCCUGCCUCCACCUCCGCCUCUGCCUCCUGAGUGCUAGGAUUAAAAGCAUGCACAUGCUCCACCACUGCCAGGCAUGGAACUUGCUCCAUGCAUCCAAAAGCGCAUCAUCACUAAUUAACUCAGAGUAGUAGCCUGCUAGAAAAUCCGUGUGCAGACUCCUGCUAAGAAAGCGUUGAGAUAGCCGGGCGUGGUGGCGUUGAGACACUUCCCAUACAAGCGCAGAGGGCUACAGGCAGCAACCUGCCUUUGUGCAGAGGGGUUUUGGCUCCAUUUUGCUGAGGGCUACUUCAAUGGUUCAGUCCCAGUGACACUAAGGGAGUGGGAAAUCCCCUUGCCUCUGCCUUUCCCCUGUGACUUUUCCCCAUGUCCUCGGGUUCUCUACAUCUAGAUUCUGUUCUCUGAGCUGGGUGCUGGACAUUGUGAGAGACUGGGAGGCCCUGAAGUCAUGUGGUGGAUCAGUGUGCCUGUCCAGUUUUCUGUACCCAGGUCCCCGUGACUCUUGAUUCUCAGGCGCCACCAGGGGGCACUGCUAACCUCCAGAUGGCAGCAUUGGCAGGGCUACAGGGCACAGCUGCAAUUGUGCAAACCCAGCAAGUACAACCAGCUGCUGCCACUCUCCGUGGCCCUGCGACUUUACCAGACUAAAACUGAGGUGAAUGGAGCAUGGGGGAGGGGCAGGCAUGGCACACAAAUUCACAGGUCAUUGCCUGGGUUUCUAGGGAGAUGGGGUAAGACCUAGAACUCUAAAUGGGACACUGCAUUUAGCACUAAAACAUUGCUGAGCACAAUGCCUACUGGUAUGGUUGUGGCAGGGGUUGGGCCUUCCAUGCCCUGGCCUGAUGUUGUCUUCUAGGAGGAACAUACUUCCGGCCCCUGGCCCAGCCCCCAAAAUGGCCCCUUCAGCAGAGGGGAGUAUUGUGGUUUUGUUCUGCCUUGAGAGGAUGGAAAAGCACUCUCGUUUAGCCACUUCCUGCCCUCUGUCAGGGCUCCUCAGUGCCUCUGAGAGUUCAACAGAAGGCCGCAGGAUGAGGUGAAACCACCACAGAUGAAGCAGAUGGCAGAAAAUAGUCAUCUGUGGGCUUUCUGUGGUCAGCAACCACUGAGCACCCCAGUGAGCAGGUACCACGCGGCAGCUAGAGCAAUGAGGAGAACAGAUACGCUUGCUAGGUCAUGGUGACCCCUCCUGAAGGCCUGAAGGGUCAGGGGACUCCUGAUCGUGUGCUGGGACAUAACAACAAGCAUUGGGUCCACCAUGUGACUACACAAACAUCUCUGCCACCAGAGGUUCUGACUGGGAGAAAAAUGGGAAACAAGAUCAGUGACCAUCUUUGCUCUUCAACUCCUCUGGAGCAGCGGAGUGCAGACUCAGAUUGACCUGCGUGGAGGUUCAUUACGUGGAAAAACUCCCGAGGGUUUCUGGUGGCAAAGGCUUGUCAUCCUGAUGCAUCUCCUUACCAACACGGGGCAGGACCUCAAGCUUUCACUCUUUAGGUGACAAGCCUCAGUAAUGCCCAGCACAGCCUCAAUGAUAGCAGAAACAACAGCACCCGCAGCACCCGGUGGAUAGGACGCUGAUGCUCACCUCUGCCCUUGAAAAGCCUCUGUGUGACGACCAUCCACGAGGAAGAGUUUAGGGUCAUGCAGCCAUCUGGGCAUUGAAAGAUACACUGUUCUGAGGCUCACACAGCAGAGCCACUGAAAACUGGAAACAUC